rnacentral:rRNA from 1 species
AACGAACGCUGGCGGCAGGCUUAACACAUGCAAGUCGAGCGCCCCGCAAGGGGAGCGGCAGACGGGUGAGUAACGCGUGGGAAUCUACCCAUCUCUACGGAAUAACGCAUGGAAACGUGUGCUAAUACCGUAUACGUCCUUAGGGAGAAAGAUUUAUCGGAGAUGGAUGAGCCCGCGUUGGAUUAGCUAGUUGGUGGGGUAAAGGACUACCAAGGCGACGAUCCAUAGCUGGUCUGAGAGGAUGAUCAGCCACACUGGGACUGAGACACGGCCCAGACUCCUACGGGAGGCCGCAGUGGGGAAUAUUGGACAAUGGGCGCAAGCCUGAUCCAGCCAUGCCGCGUAAGUGAUGAAGGCCCUAGGGUUGUAAAGCUCUUUCACCGGUGAAGAUAAUGACGGUAACCGGAGAAGAAGCCCCGGCUAACUUCGUGCCAGCCGCCGCCGUAAAAC